AGAGUUUGAUCCUGGCUCAGGAUGAACGCUAGCGGCAGGCUUAACACAUGCAAGUCGAGGGGUAACGGGGAAGCUUGCUUCCGCCGACGACCGGCGCACGGGUGCGUAACGCGUAUACAAUCUACCUUGUACUGGGGUAUAGCCUUUAGAAAUGAAGAUUAACCCCCCAUAGUCUCUUAGAGUGGCAUCACUUCUAGAGUAAAGGUUACGGUAUAAGAUGAGUAUGCGUUCUAUUAGUUUGUUGGUGUGGUAACGGCACACCAAGACUACGAUAGAUAGGGGCCCUGAGAGGGGGACCCCCCACACUGGUACUGAGACACGGACCAGACUCCUACGGGAGGCAGCAGUGAGGAAUAUUGGACAAUGGAGGCAACUCUGAUCCAGCCAUGCCGCGUGCAGGAAGACUGCCCUAUGGGUUGUAAACUGCUUUUAUACAGGAAGAAACACCUCUACGUGUAGAGGCUUGACGGUACUGUAAGAAUAAGGAUCGGCUAACUCCGUGCCAGCAGCCGCGGUAAUACGGAGGAUCCAAGCGUUAUCCGGAAUCAUUGGGUUUAAAGGGUCCGUAGGUGGAUAAUUAAGUCAGAGGUGAAAUCUUGCAGCUCAACUGUAAAAUUGCCUUUGAAACUGGUUAUCUUGAGUUAUUAUGAAGUAGUUAGAAUAUGUAGUGUAGCGGUGAAAUGCAUAGAUAUUACAUAGAAUACCAAUUGCGAAGGCAGAUUACUAAUAAUCAACUGACACUGAUGGACGAAAGCGUGGGUAGCGAACAGGAUUAGAUAC
rnacentral:rRNA from 1 species